ACUCCUACGGGAGGCAGCAGUAGGGAAUCUUCCACAAUGGACGCAAGUCUGAUGGAGCAACGCCGCGUGAGUGAAGAAGGCUUUCGGGUCGUAAAACUCUGUUGUUGGAGAAGAAUGGUCGGCAGAGUAACUGUUGUCGGCGUGACGGUAUCCAACCAGAAAGCCACGGCUAACUACGUGCCAGCAGNNNNGGUAAUACGUAGGUGGCNAGCGUUAUCCGGAUUUAUUGGGCGUAAAGCGAGCGCAGGCGGUUUUUUAAGUCUGAUGUGAAAGCCCUCGGCUUAACCGAGNNAGUGCAUCGGAAACUGGGAAACUUGAGUGCAGAAGAGGACAGUGGAACUCCAUGUGUAGCGGUGAAAUGCGUAGAUAUAUGGAAGAACACCAGUGGCGAAGGCGGCNGUCUGGUCUGUAACUGACGCUGAGGCUCGNAAGCAUGGGUAGCGAACAGGAUUAGAUACCCUGGUAGUCC
rnacentral:rRNA from 1 species